UCCACAGAGCCGCACAACCCCAGCACGAUA
rnacentral:piRNA from 1 species